UACGUAGGGUGCGAGCGUUGCCCGGAUUUAUUGGGCGUAAAGGGCGCGUAGGCGGCCACGCACGUCCGUUGUGAAAUCGCCCGGCUCAACUGGGCGGGGUCGGCGGAUACGGCGUGGCUGGAGCAAGCUAGGGGGCAAUGGAAUUCCCGGUGUAGUGGUGGAAUGCGUAGAUAUCGGGAGGAACACCAGUGGCGAAGGCGGUUGCCUGGAGCUUUGCUGACGCUGAGGCGCGAAGGCGCGGGGAGCGAACGGG
rnacentral:rRNA from 1 species